AGAGUUUGAUCCUGGCUCAGGAUGAACGCUGGCGGCGUGCCUAAUACAUGCAAGUCGAGCGAGCCACUUCGGUGGAAAGCGGCGAACGGGUGAGUAACACGUGGGUGAUCUGGCCCAGGGACCGGGACAACGUUUUGGAAACGAGCGCUAAUACCGGAUAUGUGGAAACAUGAAAGGAGCUUUCGGGCUUCGCCCUGGGA
rnacentral:rRNA from 1 species